ACCCGAUAACUUGAGGUCCUAA
rnacentral:siRNA from 1 species